rnacentral:rRNA from 1 species
GAUGAACGCUAGCGGCAGGCCUAAUACAUGCAAGUCGAACGGGAUUGCGGUGUAGCUUGCUACACUGCAUGAGAGUGGCGCACGGGUGCGUAACGCGUGAGCAACCUGCCCAUAUCAGGGGGAUAGCCCGGAGAAAUCCGGAUUAACACCGCAUGUUACAGUAUUACCGCAUGGUAUAGCUGCUAAAUAUUUAUAGGAUUUGGAUGGGCUCGCGUGACAUUAGCUAGUUGGUGGGGUAACGGCCCACCAAGGCGACGAUGUCUAGGGGCUCUGAGAGGAGAAUCCCCCACACUGGUACCGAGACACGGACCAGACUCCUACGGGAGGCAGCAGUAAGGAAUAUUGGUCAAUGGGCGGAAGCCUGAACCAGCCAUGCCGCGUGCAGGACGACUGCCCUAUGGGUUGUAAACUGCUUUUGUACGGGAAUAACCCUCUCUACGAGUAGAGAGCUGAACGUACCGUAAGAAUAAGGAUCGGCUAACUCCGUGCCAGCCGCCGCAGUAA